rnacentral:rRNA from 2 species
AUGGCUAAUACCGGAUAAGCCGGAAGGUAAAAGAUUAAUUGCCUAGGGAAGAGCUCGCGUCUGAUUAGCUAGUUGGUGAGGUAAAAGCUCACCAAGGCAUCGAUCAGUAGCUGGUCUGAGAGGAUGACCAGCCACACUGGGACUGAGACACGGCCCAGACUCCUACGGGAGGCAGCAGUGGGGAAUUUUCCGCAAUGGGCGAAAGCCUGACGGAGCAAGACCGCGUGAGGGAGGAAGGCUCUUGGGUUGUAAACCUCUUUUCUUGGGGAAGAACAAAAUGACGGUACCCAAGGAAUCAGCAUCGGCUAACUCCGUGCCAGCAGCCGCGGUAAUACGGAGGAUGCAAGCGUUAUCCGGAAUUAUUGGGCGUAAAGCGUCCGCAGGUGGCACUUCAAGUCUGCUGUCAAAGACCGGGGCUUAACCCUGGAGAGGCAGUGGAAACUGAAGCGCUAGAGUGUCGUAGGGGUAGAGGGAAUUCCUGGUGUAGCGGUGAAAUGCGUAGAGAUCAGGAAGAACAUCGGUGGCGAAAGCGCUCUACUGGACGAC